UGAACGAAGUUUUGUUGAUCCUUAGUUU
rnacentral:piRNA from 1 species